rnacentral:rRNA from 1 species
AUUGAACGCUGGCGGCAUGCCUUACACAUGCAAGUCGAACGGCAGCACGGGAGCAAUCCUGGUGGCGAGUGGCGAACGGGUGAGUAAUAUAUCGGAACGUGCCCGGUCGUGGGGAUAACGUAGCGAAAGCUACGCUAAUACCGCAUACGAUCUACGGAUGAAAGCGGGGGAUCGCAAGACCUCGCGCGAUUGGAGCGGCCGAUAUCAGAUUAGGUAGUUGGUGAGGUAAAGGCUCACCAAGCCGACGAUCUGUAGCUGGUCUGAGAGGACGACCAGCCACACUGGGACUGAGACACGGCCCAGACUCCCUACGGGAGGCAGCAGUGGGGAAUUUUGGACAAUGGGCGCAAGCCUGAUCCAGCAAUGCCGCGUGCAGGAUGAAGGCCCUUCGGGUUGGUUAAACGUAGUCGUUUUCGUUACGGUAACGGAAACGGUAGAG